rnacentral:rRNA from 1 species
GAUGGUCAGCCACACUGGGACUGAGACACUGCCCAGACUCCUACGGGAGGCUGCAGUCGAGGAUCAUUCGCAAUGCGCGAAAGCGUGACGAUGCGACGCCGCGUGCAGGAUGAAGGCCUUCGGGUCGUAAACUGCUGUCAUGAGGGAGAAACGGUCCGAGUGUUAAUAACACUUGGGAUUGAUAGUACCUCAAGAGGAAGCCACGGCUAACUCUGUGCCAGCAGCCGCGGUAAUACAGAGGUGGCAAGCGUUGUUCGGAUUUACUGGGCGUAAAGGGUGCGUAGGCGGUUCUGCAUGUCGGAUGUGAAAUUCCAUCGCUCAACGAUGGAACGGCAUUCGAAACUGCAGUGCUGGAGUACAGGAGAGGAGAGCGGAAUUCCAGGUGUAGCGGUGAAAUGCGUAGAUAUCUGGAGGAACACCGGUGGCGAAGGCGGCUCUCUGGACUGAUACUGACGCUGAGGCACGAAAGCUGGGGGAGCAAACAGGAUUAGAUACCCUGGUAGUCCCAGCCCUAAACGGUGUGCACUUGGUGUGGGGAGGAUUGACCCUCUCCGCGCCGGAGCUAACGCGUUAAGUGCACCGCCUGGGGAGUACGGCCGCAAGGCUAAAACUCAAAGGAAUUGACGGGGGCCCGCACAAGCGGUGGAGCAUGUGGCUCAAUUCGAUGCAACGCGAAGAACCUUACCAGGGCUUGACAUGUAGGUGCACGCCCCCUGAAAGGGGGGAAGCCUUCGAGGGUCCUACACAGGUGCUGCAUGGCUGUCGUCAGCUCGUGCCGUGAGGUGUUAGGUUAAGUCCUGCAACGAGCGCAACCCUUGUGAUUAGUUGCCACCUUCAAGGAAACGCGAAGAGCACUCUAAUCAGACUGCCGGUGAAAAGCCGGAGGAAGGUGGGGAUGACGUCAAGUCAGUAUGGUCCUUAUGCCCUGGGCUGCACACGUGCUACAAUGGUCGGUACAAAAGGACGCAAAACCGCGAGGUGGAGCAAAUCCCCAAAACCGGCCCCAGUUCGGAUUGAAGUCUGCAAUUCGACUUCAUGAAGCUGGAAUCGCUAGUAAUGGCGCAUCAGCUACGGCGCCGUGAAUACGUUCCCGGGCCUUGUACACACCGCCCGUCACAUCAUGAAAGUCGACUGCACCCGAAGUCAUCCGUGUAACCUGCAAAGGAACAAGAUGCCGAAGGUGUGGUUGAUGAUUGGGAUGAAGUCGAAACAAGGUA